GUUCUGAAGGUUGGGGUUGACACUGCGGAUGGCACGCAUGUAUGCCUUUAGCAGCUGGAUGUCUCGCUUCUGUUGGAGGCAAGAAGAACCAAGGAUGAUCGUUACGGCAGACAACAGAGGCAGAGCCACGAAGAGACAGAUUUCCCAUGUAUCCCAUACGGGCACCGGUUCGAGGCCAGGCUGCUCCACUUCCGAUCCAGUUCCCUGCUAAUGCACCUGGGAAAGCAGCAGAGAAUGGCCUGAGUACUAUAGCAGGGUAGGAGACCUGGAUGAAGCUGGCUUCUGUCUUCCGUGUGGCCCAGCCCUGGCAAUUGUGGGAGUGAACCAGCAGAUGGAAGAUCUCUGUCUCUCCUCUUCUCUCUAUAACUCGACAUUUCAAAUAAAUAAAUCUUUUUUUUUUUUUUUUACAAAAAGAAAAGUCCUAGGAAGUAAGUAUAGUUUUUAUCCUCAGUUUACAGACCAAAAAACAGAUGCCCAAGAGGUCCUGUAACUUGACUAAGGUCACAGAGCUACAAACAAGAGGCAGAUGAACCCAGGCCAGCGAGGUCCUGGAAGCUGCUUAAGCCACAAUGACUCUUCAUAUAUCACUAAGCCAGCAAACACUUGGCAACAGAAGAACUUCCUACAAAAAGUUAACAAACUGUCCCUAAGACUUCUGGCACUGCUCAAGUUUAGGUUGGAAUCGCAUUUGAUGAUAAUCAAGUCCCUCCCACUGGUUCUGCCUGGCUCCCCACCCCUCUGCCCUCCUGCUGCUUGUGUCCUUCCCGGGUCAUUUGUUUGGUUCAGAAAUGGUGCCCCCUCUAGAGCACUCACUUUUCCUGGAAGAUCAAUGCCCUUUCUCCUCCCGCCUUGAACAUACGCUAACGGAGUGCCAGCCCUAAGGUUUCCUCUCUGGCUGCAGCCCUCACACCCCCUUCCCUGAGCACCCUAUAUUCACAUGUGGAAUAAGCUGACAUCAUUUUCUUUGUUUCUGCCUUCUGUCUUAAAAAUAAAGGCAACUUGAGGUCAGAACUCAUUCCAUCUUGCUAUUUUUAGCAUUGUGGUAUGUAAGAAAUAUUUAAACAAUAUUUUACUUAAAUUUCAAUUUCCUAACCUCCACAUAGCAUUGACAUAUAUUUAUUUAGUAUCAAAUUAUAGAAAUAGUCUAAAAAAUAUGGGGCAGGCUAUUGGCUCAGCAGUUGAGACACCACUUGGGAUGCCAGCAUCCUUUGUCAGAAAGCCUGCAAACCAAUUUCCUGCUAAUGUGCUCCCUGAGAGGCAACAGACGGUGACCCAACUACUUGGUUCCCUGCUACCCAUAUAGGAGACCCAAACGAAGUUAUAGGGUGGUAGCUUCUGCUUGGCCCAGCCCUGGCUGUUGUGGGCAUUUGGGGAGUGACCCAGCAGAUGAAGAUCUCUCUUUCUCUAUCUACUUUAAAUGAAAAUUAAAAAAAGAAGACUAUAAAACAGCAACAAAAACAGAAGAUCAACUGGAGACAGGAGAAUGUUCUGGAGCAAAGAGGUUCAUGAAAGUCAAAGGAAGGGGCCAGCUCUGUGGCAUAGUGGGUAAAGCCACCACCUGCACUGCCGACAGACCAUACGAGUGCCGGUUCAAGUUCCAGCUGCUCCAUUUCUGAUCUGACUCUCCGCUAUGGCCUGGGAAAGGCAGUAAAGGAUGGCUCAAGUCCUUGGACCCCUGCAUCCGUAUGGGAGACCCAGAAGAAGCUCCCGGCUCCUGGCUUCAGCUCGGCCCAGCCCUGCCAUUGCUGACAUUUGGGGAGUGAACUAGUGAAUGGAAGACUUAUCUCUCUCUCUGCCUCUGCCUCUCAAAAAAAAAAAAAAAAAAAUCUUUAAAAGAACAACAACAAAAAACAAAGGUGAAAGGAGUUAUAGAAAGACAGAGAGAAGUGAGAGUUUUGUUUCACAGAUACAGAGUUUAAGUCUUGCAA